CGAGGGGUAACAGGGUUUUCGGACUGCUGACGACCGGCGCACGGGUGAGUAACGCGUAUACAAUCUGCCUAUUACUAAGAGAUAGCCCAGAGAAAUUUGGAUUAAUAUUUUAUGGCAUUACGACUUGGCAUCGAGUUGUAAUUAAAGGUUACGGUAAUAGAUGAGUAUGCGUCCUAUUAGCUAGAUGGUAAGGUAACGGCUUACCAUGGCGACGAUAGGUAGGGGUCCUGAGAGGGAGAUCCCCCACACUGGUACUGAGACACGGACCAGACUCCUACGGGAGGCAGCAGUGAGGAAUAUUGGACAAUGGGAGCAAUCCUGAUCCAGCCAUGCCGCGUGCAGGAAGACUGCCCUAUGGGUUGUAAACUGCUUUUAUACAGGAAGAAAAAGGUGUACGUGUACACUGUUGACGGUACUGUAAGAAUAAGGAUCGGCUAACUCCGUGCCAGCAGCCGCGGUAAUACGGAGGAUCCAAGCGUUAUCCGGAAUCAUUGGGUUUAAAGGGUCCGUAGGCGGGACAAUAAGUCAGUGGUGAAAGUCUGCAGCUCAACUGUAGAAUUGCCAUUGAUACUGUUGUUCUUGAGUGCUUGUGAAGUGGUUAGAAUGAGUAGUGUAGCGGUGAAAUGCAUAGAUAUUACUCAGAAUACCGAUUGCGAAGGCAGAUCACUAACAAUUCACUGACGCUGAUGGACGAAAGCGUAGGUAGCGAACAGGAUUA
rnacentral:rRNA from 1 species